GAUGAAGAACGUAGCGAAAUGCGAUACGUAAUGUGAAUUGCAAAUUCAGUGAAUCAUCGAGUCUCUGAACGCACAUUGCGCCCCCUGGUAUUCCGGGGGGCAUGCCUGUCCGAGCGUCAUUGCUGCCCUCAAGCACGGCUUGUGUGUUGGGCCCCGUCCUCCGAUCCCGGGGGACGGGCCCGAAAGGCAGCGGCGGCACCGCGUCCGGUCCUCGAGCGUAUGGGGCUUUGUCACCCGCUCUGUAGGCCCGGCCGGCGCUUGCCGAUCAACCCAAAUUUUUAUCCAGGUUGACCUCGGAUCAGGUAGGGAUACCCGCUGAACUUAAGCAUAUCAAUAAGCGGAGGA
rnacentral:misc_RNA from 1 species